UUGUGACGUUAACCAAGUAUAUUAAAUAUAUAUAUGUAUACUAAAAGAAUUAUGUCCUAUAAUCAAAAUUUUAAUGUCCGGUACAUCCAACAAAAGUCCAACAAAAUUUAAUUUAUACUUCUUGGGUUCUAAGAAAAUAGGGUACUUCAACGCGGACAGCCACGAACUUGAACCGAUUAUACCUGCACCAAAUUAGAUACUCAAAUAAUUAAAUAAAUAAAUAAAUAAAAUAAUAAAAUACAAAAAGGCAGAUCUUGAGAGGAUAAUUGUUAUCAACAGCAUUUAUUGCUGCAUUAAUGGAUUGCAGAUAGAAAUCAUCAUCCUCUGACAGAAUAUUUGAAAAAUACACGCCACUUGCGUCUCAUUCUUGAGAGAUACGACACUUGCAUCUCAUUCUUGCAAGAUACACCACUUGCAUCUUUUAUGUAUAUGUAUGUAUAUACAAAUCUUUUUGUCUCACCCACCUCACAAUCAAACUUUCCAAAAAGAAUUCCACAUAGAACACAGGAGGGAGAGUUGCAGAGUUGCAGGUAAUUGUAGAGUCAAGCACUACAAUCCAACAAAACUUUAUUCCACCUCAAAAGGAUGAACUUUGCACCUCGUUUGUGGUUGAAGCAGAAGGUGAUUGAGGAGUUAAGCAUUUGAGGUUGAGCAGCGAAGUGGUGGAGGAAGUGCUAUUGAGACAAGACA